rnacentral:tRNA from 1 species
GGGCCUGUGGUCUAGUGGUUAUGAUAUCGCCUUGACGUGGCGAGGAUCCCCGGUUCGAAUCCGGGCAGGCCCA